rnacentral:lncRNA from 1 species
CUCUCUCCAGCAAAUGGAAAAAUUAUCUAAUCAAAGAAACAAAAAACCUAAGAAGCUCAAAUAACAAGUAAUCAUAAAUUAGCACAUGUAAUUUUAAUUUUAGAGAAUACAAUUUAUUUUUUUAAAAAACUGGAUAUUUUUUAAAACUCAAAAAGACUCAAUAAAUCUACAGUCUAAAAAAUCCAAUGCCUGAUUUGAAAUGGGGAUUGGUUUUCUUUUGAUUGUUAGGGCCAUCCUGUUUGGGAUGGAGAUGGAGAGAGGGUUUCAACUUUGGUUGGGAUUGAGAUGGGGAGAGGGUUUCACCUUUAAUUGGGAUUGAGAUAAAGGGUGGGAUGGAGCCCUUUUUUAUUUGUAAGUAUGGAAAGCUCUUCAAGCUUCAUAGAUCCAUUGAUCGAUUGACUGAUUUUUUGCAUCUUCAAACAAGAAGAGCCAUUUGCAAAAAUCAUUGAGCUUGCAUCUUGCUACUCCCCACAAGUGAAAAAAAUAGGAAAUGAGAGAGAGAGAGAGAGAAAGAGAGAGGCGGACUCAACCAAAAAGAGCCUUCGAUGAUCAUAGACAGAGCGGCUCUAAUGGCCGCAGAGAGAGAAAGCAGAUAGAAGCAGGAGUGGUAGGCUCUAACGGUCACAGAGAGAAGCGGGAAUGAGGGAGAUGGAGAGAUUUGGAGUUAAAGCAGGAAUAAGGGAGGAGAUGGAGAGAUUUGAGGAGAUUUGGAGUUAAAAC